rnacentral:rRNA from 1 species
CAUAUCAAUAAGCGGAGGAAAAGAAACCAACAGGGAUUGCCCUAGUAACGGCGAGUGAAGCGGCAACAGCUCAAAUUUGAAAUCUGGCUUCGGCCCGAGUUGUAAUUUGUAGAGGAUGCUUUUGGUGAGGUGCCUUCUGAGUUCCCUGGAACGGGACGCCAGAGAGGGUGAGAGCCCCGUAUAGUCGGCCACCGAUCCUCUGUAAAGCUCCUUCGACGAGUCGAGUAGUUUGGGAAUGCUGCUCAAAAUGGGAGGUAUAUCUCUUCUAAAGCUAAAUAUAGGCCAGAGACCGAUAGCGCACAAGUAGAGUGAUCGAAAGAUGAAAAGCACUUUGAAAAGAGGGUUAAAUAGCACGUGAAAUUGUUGAAAGGGAAGCGCUUGUGACCAGACUUGUGCCGGGCUGAUCAUCCAGUGUUCUCACUGGUGCACUCGACCCGGCUCAGGCCAGCGUCGGUUUUCGCGGGGGGAUAAAAGCUUCGGGAACGUGGCACCUUCGGGUGUGUUAUAGCCCGUUGCUUAAUACCUCCGUGGGGACCGAGGUUCGCGCUCUGCAAGGACGCUGGCAUAAUGGUCAUCAGCGACCCGUCUUGAAACACGGACCAAGGAGUCGAGGUUUUGCGCGAGUGUUUGGGUGUAAAACCCGCACGCGUAAUGAAAGUGAACGUAGGUGAGAGCUUCGGCGCAUCAUCGACCGAUCCUGAUGUAUUCGGAUGGAUUUGAGUAAGAGCGUAAAGCCUCGGACCCGAAAGAUGGUGAACUAUGCCUGAAUAGGGUGAAGCCAGAGGAAACUCUGGUGGAGGCUCGCAGCGGUUCUGACGUGCAAAUCGAUCGUCAAAUUUGGGCAUGGGGGCGAAAGACUAAUCGAA